rnacentral:rRNA from 1 species
AACGAACGCUGGCGGCAGGCCUAACACAGGCAAGUCGAACGCUCCGCAAGGAGAGUGGCAGACGGGUGAGUAACACGUGGGAAUCUUCCUAUCGGUGCGGAAUAGCUCAGGGAAACUUGAGGUAAUACCGCAUACGCCCUCAGGGGGAAAGAUUUAUCGCCGAUAGAUGAGCCCGCGUCUGAUUAGCUAGUUGGUGGGGUAAUGGCCCACCAAGGCGACGAUCAGUAGCUGGUCUGAGAGGAUGACCAGCCACACUGGGACUGAGACACGGCCCAGACUCCUACGGGAGGCAGCAGUGGGGAAUAUUGGACAAUGGGCGCAAGCCUGAUCCAGCCAUGCCGCGUGAGUGACGAAGGUCUUCGGAUUGUAAAGCUCUUUUGCCAGGGACGAUAAUGACGGUACCUGGAGAAUAAGCCCCGGCUAACUUCGUGCCAGCAGCCGCCGCUGUAA